rnacentral:rRNA from 1 species
AGCAGCCGCGGUAAUUCCAGCUCCAAUAGCGUAUAUUAAAGUUGUUGCAGUUAAAAAGCUCGUAGUUGAAUUUCGGGAUCAAGUCGUCGGUCGUGCUCAGGUACGUACUGGCGUCAUUGAUUUCUCCCUUCUGACGAACCAUGAUGUCAUUAAUUUGGUGUUAUGGGAAAUCAGGACUGUUAC